rnacentral:rRNA from 1 species
AUUGAACGCUGGCGGCAGGCCUAACACAUGCAAGUCGAACGAGUGGCGGACGGGUGAGUCAUGUAUGGGAAACUGCUUGAUGGAUGGGGAUAACUACUGGAAACGGUAGCUAUUACCGCAUACCAUAGGCUGUGCCCAGAUGGGAUUAGGUAGUAGGUGGGGUAAAGGCUCAACAAGGCAACGAUGCCUAGCUGGUCUGAGAGGGUGACACGCCACACGGGAACUGAGACACGGUCCAGACUCCUACGGGAGGCAGCAGUGGGGAAUAUUGCGCAAUGGGCGAAAGCCUGAUGCAGCCAUGCCGCGUGAAUGAAGAAGGCCUUCGGAUUGUAAAGAUCUUUCAGCGGGGAAGCGUUACCCACAGAAAAAGCACCGGCUAACUCCGUGCCAGCAGCCGCGGUAAUUC